GCAGUGGUGGCUCAGUGGUAGAAUUUGUGCCUUCCAUUCAGGAGGCCUGGGUUCAAUUCCCAGCCAAGGUA
rnacentral:tRNA from 1 species